AGUCGAACGGAAAUAUUAUGUAGGAAGCUUCUUAGUUUACUAAGAAGUGGAAUUUUUAGUAUUUUAGUGGCGGACGGGUGAGUAACGCGUGGGUAACCUACCUUACACUGGGGGAUAACAGUUAGAAAUAGCUGCUAAUACCGCAUAAGCACACAGGACCGCAUGGUCUAGUGUGAAAAACUCCGGUGGUGUAAGAUGGACCCGCGUCUGAUUAGCUAGUUGGUGAGGUAAUGGCUCACCAAGGCGACGAUCAGUAGCCGGCCUGAGAGGGUGAACGGCCACAUUGGGACUGAGACACGGCCCAAACUCCUACGGGAGGCAGCAGUGGGGAAUAUUGCACAAUGGGGGAAACCCUGAUGCAGCGACGCCGCGUGAGUGAAGAAGUAUUUCGGUAUGUAAAGCUCUAUCAGCAAGGAAGAAAAUGACGGUACUUGACUAAGAAGCCCCGGCUAACUACGUGCCAGCAGCCGCGGUAAUACGUAGGGGGCAAGCGUUAUCCGGAUUUACUGGGUGUAAAGGGAGCGUAGACGGUUUGGCAAGUCAGAUGUGAAAGCCCGGGGCUCAACCCCGGGACUGCAUUUGAAACUGCGAGACUAGAGUGCAGGA
rnacentral:rRNA from 1 species